rnacentral:rRNA from 1 species
UGGUGUUCGGGUUGUCAUGCCAAUGGCACUGCCCGGUAGCUAAAUGCGGAAGAGAUAAGUGCUGAAAGCAUCUAAGCACGAAACUUGCCCCGAGAUGAGUUCUCCCUGAGACUUAGAGUCUCCUGAAGGAACGUUGAAGACGACGACGUUGAUAGGCCGGGUGUGUAAGCGCAGCGAUGCGUUGAGCUAACCGGUACUAAUGAACCGUGAGGCUUAACCUUACAACGCCGAAG